UGACGAUCUCUGAAGCCCUUAGAAGCGAGUGGAAGCGUAUUUGCCUUUACAACUUUGGGUGAAAGCCAUACAUCCUCACGGCCUCAUUGCUAACGAAAUACUCAUAAUCAAGCAGCGACUCCACAGUGCAAGAACAUCAGGCACGUACGGUUCUGCCAAAGAGGGUAAAAAUUCCAAACAGGAAACCAAGAAUAGGGCACAAGAAGGAUCUCUGUAUGGACGUACAAGUGGAUGAUAGAUUCCAGAGUGACCAUCCAGAAGCAGCGUGGAUGGAGGACUGUCUGCGUUGACUAGCCUGUGGUCUGAAGGUGGAUGUAGAUGAGGAUGCCUGUGAUGAUCUGGCCUGGCCUUGAGCCUUGAAUGGACGAUUGUCAUCAGUUUUUUCAUUGAAGAGGCCUGAUGCGUCAAAAGUCACCCGAUGUUGAAGAAGAAGCAGACUCAGACUCGUCCCGUCAAUGUAGACAUCUAGGAUUCAUGUAAUUUGCUUCAUAUUCGGAGUCAGAGUCCGAAUCAUCUCGUCGACGUCGACACCGUCUCUUCCUCUCAACCUUGUCAUCAGAGUCAUCAUAUGAAUGCUUGUGACGGCGUCGCGAAUCCUUGGGUCACUGGUUGAACUGGAAGAAGGUGUAGAGAUGACAUAUUGACAGGACCUCUGUCUUUAAUACUGAAUAACAUGGAUGUAAUCAACUGGUGCCUUUGAAACAACCAAGGAACAGGUGGGAAUGUCACAGGCAACCUCUCCAAACUGACAUCAAGUAGAGUGCUGGGAAAGACCUCUGCCUUGGACCUCAGAGAUACAAGUGCAUGGCCUAAAAGGACCCACAUUCACAUUUAGCAAGAAAGGAGAAGAGGAAACAAGUUAUUGUGUUACACUGUGAUUUGACUGUAAGCAUGCCUCUGCACUGCAGAGUUAUGUAAAGCAGUUUGAUUCCACAUUAAGUGCUAUGUCUACAUCUUAUGAAAUGUUUGGAUCUUUAUUACACAGAGGGGAAAAUCUCUUUGAAACUUAGAAAUCUCUACUGGAGAUUACAAGACAGCACUACAGAUCUUUAGCAGAGAAUGUUGACUUCCUCUCCAAACCACAGCACUGAGCCAUGGCAGUUGAAGUGGAAUCAAAAUGUUGUGACUGCGCCGUAUAGAUUUCUUAGUCUUCACAUAGCAUUAGAAAUAUUUAACAAUGAGAUCAUACCUGAUCUUUUUCAGAGUAAAGGCCUUAACUCAGGGGUCAGGGAACGUUUUUACCUUUUACCCCCCAAAAAAUUCAUAUACGCUGACA